UCUUAGCCCAGACUGUAGCCCCGUAGUCUCAGGCUUUUAGCCUGAGAUGGAGCUAUGCGGAAGGGCGAAAGGCUGGAGGAGUG
rnacentral:misc_RNA from 1 species